CCUGACGCAGCGACGCCGCGUGAGUGAUGAAGGCCUUCGGGUCGUAAAGCUCUGUCAGAGGGGAAGAACCUCCUGUCGGUUGAUACCCGGCAGGCCUGACGGUACCCUCAAAGGAAGCACCGGCUAACUCCGUGCCAGCAGCCGCGGUAAUACGGAGGGUGCGAGCGUUGUCCGGAAUUAUUGGGCGUAAAGGGCGCGUAGGCGGCCGGAUAAGUCAGAUGUGAAAGCCCACGGCUUAACUGUGGAAGUGCAUUUGAAACUGUCCGGCUCGAGUAUCGGAGGGGAGUGUGGAAUUCCCGGUGUAGAGGUGAAAUUCGUAGAGAUCGGGAGGAACACCGGUGGCGAAGGCGACACUCUGGACGAAUACUGACGCUGAGGCGCGAAAGCGUGGGGAGCGAACAGGAUUAGAUACCCUGGUAGCCCACGCUGUAAACGAUGUGCACUAGGUGUUGGUGCUUUCGUAGGUAUCAGUGCCGUAGUUAACGCGUUAAGUGCACCGCCUGGGGAGUAUGCUCGCAAGGGUGAAACUCAAAGGAAUUGACGG
rnacentral:rRNA from 1 species